rnacentral:rRNA from 1 species
UCAGGACGAACGCUGGCGGCGUGCCUAACACAUGCAAGUCGAACGGGGAUUUGUUUCGGCAGAAUCCUAGUGGCGAACGGGUGAGUAACGCGUAGGCAACCUGCCCUCCGGCCGGGGACAACACUCCGAAAGGGGUGCUAAUACCGGAUACGAAGUCUGUGCCGCAUGGUACGGAUUUGAAAGAUGGCCUCUAUUUAUAAGCUAUCGCCGGGGGAUGGGCCUGCGUCCGAUUAGCUGGUUGGUGGGGUAACGGCCUACCAAGGCGACGAUCGGUAGCCGGUCUGAGAGGAUGAACGGCCACAUUGGGACUGAGACACGGCCCAGACUCCUACGGGAGGCAGCAGUGGGGAAUCUUCCGCAAUGGGCGCAAGCCUGACGGAGCAACGCCGCGUGAGUUGAGGAAGUUCUUCGGAACGUAAAGCUCUGUUGUUCCUGACGAACCUCCCCUCUAUCAACAACGGAGGGGACUGACGGUAGGGAACGAGGAAGCCACGGCUAACUACGUGCCAGCAGCAGC